UCUUAUGUACAUGCCUAUAGAAUUAAUGCACCAGAUCCCAUAAAAAAUUUGUAGUUAAGCAUGCUUGGUCUAGAGUAGUACUGGGAUGGGUGAGCUCCCAGGAAGUCCAAGUGUGUUACAU
rnacentral:rRNA from 1 species